UAAUGCAGGUGUAGCAAAACCUUAGCGCUUCUCAGAAUAGUGAUCUGUUUGCCUGUGAGGUUUAUUCUUAGGUAUGCUUCAAAUGUUCUCCUAAAAUUCUUGAUAGUCUGGUAGGAGACCUGCCUAGAAAAGCUGAAAUACUUCCUCCUAGUGAAGAGCUGAAUAAGACUUCAUAUCAUCAUCAUUGGAACUCUCAAUUUGCAUCAGAAUUUGCUAUCUUGGAUUAGGACAUUAUGUGAGCAGUGUCCAUUGAAUAUUUGUCCAACUGUAUAUUCACAGUCUCUCAAUUUGCACUGCAGGCACAUUUUGUUAGGAGUACCAAAAUGUGAUAUUGUCUAAUCUUUCAAUCUAUAUUAUAUAUCUAUAUAAUAAUAAUAAAAAAUGAAUGAGUAACACACUGAUGCUUAAAAGCUAGUUGAGUCUAGAAAAAGAUUUUGUGUAAUUCUAGAAAAACUAUUAUUUCUUCAGUUUCUUUAGUCCUUUUGCUUUCGGAAAUCCAAUUUCUCCCAUAUGAUCAUUGGAAGCAUUGACUUUUCUUAAUUUCUUUGCAGUUACAAUGAGUGACUACUAGUCUGUCAAAAAUAAUUCUAGCAAGUGAUUCACGUAAGCAUGUGGAUAUCUGUGGCUGUUUAUCAAUUUAAUCCAAGGAAGUCUACUGCAGAUGCAUCUGGAAGACUGAAAGACGAUUGUUCAAGAGCACAAGCAGCCUUCAGUGGACAAUCAGAGUGUGCCUACAGCUGGAGAAGCUCACUGGCGUGACGCCUUUGUUGCUCAUAAAUCUGAUUUCACAGAACUUGAAAGGAAGUUGGAUGAUACCAAAAAGGAACUGGAGGAGGUGCAUGCUGAUCUUGUCAUGGUCAUGCAGGAACUUGAUUUGGCAAGAGCUGAGGUAUAACUAUGUGUUCGGACAUCAUCUGAAUGAAUGCUCCAGUACCAGUUUUGUUUUCUUUUGUGGUAGUGGUUAGUGAAUGAUUCUUGUAUAUGUAUAGAUAUAGAUAUUUAAUAAAGAAGGACAUUUUAUUCUGAAUUUUCA
rnacentral:lncRNA from 1 species